rnacentral:rRNA from 1 species
UACGGGGGGGGCAAGCGUUGUUCGGAAUUACUGGGCGUAAAGGGCUCGUAGGUGGCCAACUAAGUCAGACGUGAAAUCCCUCAGCUUAACUGGGGAACUGCGUCUGAUACUGGAUGGCUUGAGUUUGGGAGAGGGACGCGGAAUUCCUGGUGUAGCGGUGAAAUGCGCAGAUAUCAGGAGGAGCACCAAUGGCGAAGGCAGCUCGCUGGGACGUGACUGACGCUGAGACGCGAAAGCGUGGGGAGCAAACAGG